rnacentral:rRNA from 1 species
UACGUAGGGUGCGAGCGUUUGUCCGGAAUUAUUGGGCGUAAAGAGCUCGUAGGCGGUCUGUCGCGUCGAUCGUGAAAACUUGGGGCUUAACCCUGAGCUUGCGGUCGAUACGGGCAUGACUGGAGUUCGGCAGGGGAGACUGGAAUUCCUGGUGUAGCGGUGAAAUGCGCAGAUAUCAGGAGGAACACCGAUGGCGAAGGCAGGUCUCUGGGCCAUAACUGACGCUGAGAAGCGAAAGCAUGGGGGGCGAACAGG